rnacentral:rRNA from 1 species
GAUGAACGCUGGCGGCGUGCCUAAUACAUGCAAGUCGAGCGAACGGACGAGAAGCUUGCUUCUCUGAUGUUAGCGGCGGACGGGUGAGUAACACGUGGAUAACCUACCUAUAAGACUGGGAUAACUUCGGGAAACCUGAGCUAAUACCGGAUGAUAUUUUGAACCGCAUGGUUCAAAAGUGAAAGACGGUCUUGCUGUCACUUAUAGAUGGAUCCGCGCUGCAUUAGCUAGUUGGUAAGGUAACGGCUUACCAAGGCAACGAUGCAUAGCCGACCUGAGAGGGUGAUCGGCCACACUGGAACUGAGACACGGUCCAGACUCCUACGGGAGGCAGCAGUAGGGAAUCUUCCGCAAUGGGCGAAAGCCUGACGGAGCAACGCCGCGUGAGUGAUGAAGGUCUUCGGAUCGUAAAACUCUGUUAUUAGGGAAGAACAUAUGUGUAAGUAACUGUGCACAUCUUGACGGUACCUAAUCAGAAAGCCACGGCUAACUACGUG